GGGGCGGGGAGACUGAGGCAUGGCGGGAUGCAGGUCCCAAGCCCUUCCCCGCGGGGAGGCAGCUAAGGCCCGGCAAGAAAUCGAGCACAGCAGCUGCUAGCGCAGGUGCUAAGCCCCUCACUGCCCGGGGCUUGCGGGCCGGCCUGCUGCUCCGAGUGCUGGGCCAGCCGAGCCCACGCCCCCCCGGAACUGGCGCUGGCCCGCAAGCGCCGCGCGCAGCCCCAGUUUCCGCCCGCGCCUCUCCCUCCACGCCUCCUCGCAAGCUGAGGGAGUCGGCUCCGGCCUUGGCCAGCCCAGAAAGGGGCUCCCACAGUGCAACGGUGGGCUGAAGGGCCAGAGUGGGCGCCAAGGGCGAGGAGGCGCCGAGAGCGAGUGGGGGCUGCCAGCACGGUGUCACCUCUCACCAGUAGUUGUGAUUUUUGCUGUCACCCCCAUGGAUUAUGAAUUCACUUUGUCUGGGUAACAGUGGAAACCCUCGGAAGUUGUUUCCACUGUUUCAUCUAAAAGAAGUCGCCAAAACGAAGUUUUCUCAGUGCCAAAGCAUGGACUCAGGAAACUGGCGUUCAAGGAGGUGACUAAUCUAAGGUCAUCUAGCUAAGUGACAGAGACAGUAUUCAAACUAAGGUGCCUCUGACUCCAAAGACUAUUCAAACUUCCAGACUUUGCUAAGGACUUCCAACAACUGCAUUAUACUGAUAAAAGUUGCCUGUCAGAACCUGCACGUUGUGCACAUGUACCCUAAAACUUAAAGUAUAAUAUUAGUAAAAUAAAAAAAAAGAAUAAAGAGGAUGUUCCAUAACUCAGUCUGUGAGUCAGACAACUGAAGAAGCCUACCUUCUGCCACAUAGGAACAGUGGCAAUUAGAGAUUAGAUUACUUGCCUUUGGUCACAAAGGUAGCAAAUUCAGAUCUGGAAUUCUUUACUUGGGCAAUCUGACUUCAGAGAUCUUCUAAACCACUAUACUACACCUACUCCUGAAACUGAAAUGAGAGCAGUUUAAGAAUUUUACCUAAAGUCACCGUGCAAGGGGGAUGAGCUCCAGGGACUGUCAUUUUUCACAGGUCACCCUAAAGAAAUAGAACCAGAAGAUUGCAGAAUUGCGGCCUUCGAUUCUCCUCUCUAAGUAGACUGAGUACACUUGAAGACAACAAUAUGGGCAUUCAUUAGAUGGAAUUUGGAAGACAAAGCUGAGGUUAAAAAUUACAUUUCUUUUGACUAAACUUAGGCAGGACAUUUAGUCUAGCGUUCACCACAGGUCUCAUUGGUCCCUACUACCUGUACCAGACUUUCCACAGGCACACUAUAUGCGUGGCCAUUAAGGUUUUUAGUUUGCAUUCCCAGGAAUAAAUUGAUUUCUCACUUUGAUAACAUGCUGUGCUACUUCUGGCUUUUACAUUAAAACCCUUAGAGGAUGAUAAGUAUGGUUACAGAACACAUUGUCUGAGUUUCAGAUCUGGCUUAUUCACUUAAUAAAUGCUAUAGUUUGGAUAUUCAUCCACCCCCCGAUAUCUCGCAUUGAAAUUUAAUCCUCAUUGAUGGAAAUGAGGCCUAAUUGGAGCUGUUUGGGUCAUGUGGGUGGAUUCCUCAUGAAUGGCUUGACAUCGUCCUCAAAGUAAUGAGCGAGUUCUUGCUCUGUUAGUUCCCAUGAGAGCUGGUUGUUAAGAAGAGCCUGGCACCUCCACUCUCUUUCUCUUGCUUCCUAUCUCACCGUGUGAUCUCUGCACAGUUGACCCCACUUUGUCUUCUGCCAUGAGUAGAAGCAGCCUGAGUCCCUCAACAGAAGCCAAGCAGAUGCUGGCACCAUGCUUCUUGUACAGCCUACACAACAUGAGCCAAAUAAAGCUAUUUUCUUUAUAAAUUACCCAGCCUCAGGUAAUCCUUGAAAGCAAUACUAAAUGGACUAAAACAGUAACUAUGUGACUACUUUAUACCAG
rnacentral:lncRNA from 1 species